AUCAUCACGAGGAAGUUUGGUCGAAGCUGCACGAACGCAUACUUCAAUUUUGUUUUUAGAGAUGUAAUUAUGUCAUGCGAACGUGUACACAAUCAUAAUUGUACUCUUAAACGCACGCCUAAAGGCUUUUCUACGGUUACUCAUAAUUAUCGUCCUACCAAGUCCAGAAAAUUUUGGAGGCAUAACAGUUCUCACAAACAAAUCAAUGACA
rnacentral:lncRNA from 1 species